rnacentral:rRNA from 1 species
GACGAACCGUGCGAACGUUAUUCGGAAUCACUGGGCUUAAAGCGCGUGUAGGCGGGACGGCACGUCGGUCGCUGAAAUCCCCCGGCUUAACCGGGGAACGGGCGUCGAUACGACCGUCCUGGAGGGGCGUAGGGGGACCUGGAACUUCCGGUGGAGCGGUGAAAUGCGUUGAGAUCGGAAGGAACGCCCGUGGCGAAAGCGAGGUCCUGGACGCCUACUGACGCUGAGACGCGAAAGCCAGGGGAGCAAACGGGG